rnacentral:lncRNA from 13 species
CUUUACCCAGAGAUCAUUUUAAACACUUUGUAUUUCUCUGAUGAACUUAUUUGCAGGAUCAAUAGAAAAUACUUUAAUAGGUUAUGCCUCUGCAUUUCACAACUGGAGAGAGGAAAGGAAGACGCUUCAAGUACACAUAAAUUGUGAUGCAGCUUUCAAUUUCGUGGAUGUCACCAACAAAGAGACACAAGUCCAGACAUUCUAAUGUCUUUCUACACCUUCUAAGGAUGGAGAUAAUGUUUUUGAAUCCUGUUCAAGAUGGCUUAAAGAUCUUCUUUCAAAGUUGUAAUGGUUAACUUAAAACUCAUCAUUAGGUUGAAUUCCUCCUCUCCCUCUUAUCUUUGGCUGAGUCUCCAUUCACCAUUGGUAGUAGGAUUAUUUGCAGAAGGUCAGCAGGAAAAGGUACUCAAGAAUCUGCUUAGUUUGUUUCAGCCACGUGAUUUUUCAUGCCUGAAGAAUCAAUUUACAGCAUGA